rnacentral:rRNA from 1 species
UGAGGAAUAUUGGUCAAUGGACGAGAGUCUGAACCAGCCAAAUCGCGUGAAGGAAGACUGCCCUACGGGUUGUAAACUUCUUUUGUACAGGAAUAAAAGACAUUACGUGUAAUGUAUUGCAUGUACUGUACGAAUAAGCAUCGGCUAACUCCGUGCCAGCAGCCGCGGUAAUACGGAGGAUGCGAGCGUUAUCCGGAUUUAUUGGGUUUAAAGGGUGCGCAGGCGGGAUGUUAAGUCGGCGGUGAAAUUUUGCAGCUCAACUGUAAAAGUGCCUUCGAUACUGGCCUCCUUGAGUGUGGAUGAAGUAGGCGGAAUUUGUGGUGUAGCGGUGAAAUGCUUAGAUAUCACGAGGAACUCCGAUUGCGCAGGCAGCUUACUAAGCCACAACUGACGCUCAUGCACGAAGGCGUGGGGAUCAAACA